rnacentral:rRNA from 1 species
UGGGGAAUUUUGGACAAUGGGCGCAAGCCUGAUCCAGCCAUGCCGCGUGCGGGAAGAAGGCCUUCGGGUUGUAAACCGCUUUGUCAGGGAAGAAAUCUUCUGAGUUAAUACCUCGGGAGGAUGACGGUACCUGAAGAAUAAGCACCGGCUAACUACGUGCCAGCAGCCGCGGUAAUACGUAGGGUGCAAGCGUUAAUCGGAAUUACUGGGCGUAAAGCGUGCGCAGGCGGUUUUGUAAGACAGAGGUGAAAUCCCCGGGCUCAACCUGGGAACUGCCUUUGUGACUGCAAGGCUUGAGCGCGGCAGAGGGGGAUGGAAUUCCGCGUGUAGCAGUGAAAUGCGUAGAUAUGCGGAGGAACACCGAUGGCGAAGGCAAUCCCCUGGGCCUGCACUGACGCUCAUGCACGAAAGCGUGGGGAGCAAACAGGAUUAGAUAGCCCUGGUAGUCCACGCCCUAAAACGAUGUCAACUGGUUGUUGGGAAGGUUCCUUCUCAGUAACGUAGCUAACGCGUG